GACGAACGCUGGCGGCGCGCCUAACACAUGCAAGUCGAACGGAGCUGAGAGAAGCUUGCUUUUCUUAGCUUAGUGGCGAACGGGUGAGUAACGCGUGAGUAACCUGCCCUGGAGUGGGGGACAACAGUUGGAAACGACUGCUAAUACCGCAUAAGCCCACGAUCCGGCAUCGGAUUGAGGGAAAAGGAUUUAUUCGCUUCAGGAUGGACUCGCGUCCAAUUAGCUAGUUGGUGAGGUAACGGCCCACCAAGGCGACGAUUGGUAGCCGGACUGAGAGGUUGAACGGCCACAUUGGGACUGAGACACGGCCCAGACUCCUACGGGAGGCAGCAGUGGGGGAUAUUGCACAAUGGGGGAAACCAUGAUGCAGCGACGCCGCGUGGAGGAAGAAGGUUUUCGGAUUGUAAACUCCUGUCGUUAGGGACGAUAAUGACGGUACCUAACAAGAAAGCACCGGCUAACUACGUG
rnacentral:rRNA from 1 species